AUUGAACGCUGGCGGCAGGCCUAACACAUGCAAGUCGAGCGGAUGAAGGGAGCUUGCUCCUGGAUUCAGCGGCGGACGGGUGAGUAAUGCCUAGGAAUCUGCCUGGUAGUGGGGGAUAACGUCCGGAAACGGGCGCUAAUACCGCAUACGUCUGAGGGAGAAAGUGGGGGAUCUUCGGACCUCACGCUAUCAGAUGAGCCUAGGUCGGAUUAGCUAGUUGGUGGGGUAAAGGCCUACCAAGGCGACGAUCCGUAACUGGUCUGAGAGGAUGAUCAGUCACACUGGAACUGAGACACGGUCCAGACUCCUACGGGAGGCAGCAGUGGGGAAUAUUGGACAAUGGGCGAAAGCCUGAUCCAGCCAUGCCGCGUGUGUGAAGAAGGUCUUCGGAUUGUAAAGCACUUUAAGUUGGGAGGAAGGGCAGUAAGUUAAUACCUUGCUGUUUUGACGUUACCAACAGAAUAAGCACCGGCUAACUUCGUG
rnacentral:rRNA from 1 species